rnacentral:rRNA from 1 species
UAGUGGCGAACGGGUGAGUAACACGUGAGAAACCUACCCCGGACUCAGGAAUAACAGUGGGAAACCACUGCUAAUACCAGAUAUCUCCAACGGGCCUCCUGGCUCGAUGAAGAAAGGGUUACCGGUUCGGGACGGUCUCGCGGCCUAUCAGCUUGUUGGUGGGGUAACGGCCCACCAAGGCGUCGACGGGUAGCUGGUCUGAGAGGAUGAUCAGCCACACUGGGACUGAGACACGGCCCAGACUCCUACGGGAGGCAGCAGUGGGGAAUCUUGCGCAAUGGGCGAAAGCCUGACGCAGCAACGCCGCGUGGGGGAUGAAGGCCCUCGGGUUGUAAACCCCUUUCAGCAGGAACGAAACUGACGGUACCUGCAGAAGAAGGCCCGGCCAACUACGUGCCAGCAGCCGCGGUAACACGUAGGGGCCAAGCGUUGUCCGGAUUUAUUGGGCGUAAAGAGCUCGUAGGCGGUUGGGUAAGUCGGGUGUGAAAACUCCGGGCUCAACUCGGAGACGCCACCCGAUACUGCUCUGACUUGAGUCCGGUAGGGGAGUGGGGAAUUCCUGGUGUAGCGGUGAAAUGCGCAGAUAUCAGGAGGAACACCGGUGGCGAAGGCGCCACUCUGGGCCGGAAC